rnacentral:rRNA from 1 species
UACGAAGGGGGCUAGCGUUGUUCGGAAUUACUGGGCGUAAAGGGCUCGUAGGCGGCCAACUAAGUCAGACGUGAAAUCCCUCGGCUUAACCGGGGAACUGCGUCUGAUACUGGAUGGCUUGAGAUUGGGAGAGGGAUGCGGAAUUCCAGGUGUAGCGGUGAAAUGCGUAGAUAUCUGGAGGAACACCGGUGGCGAAGGCGACAUCCUGGACCAAUACUGACGCUGAGGAGCGAAAGCCAGGGGAGCAAACGGG